UCUCCGUUGGUGAACCAGCGGAGGGAUCAUUACCGAGUUUACACCUCCCAAACCCCUGUGAACAUACCUCUAUGUUGCCUCGGCGGAUCAGACCGCGCCCCGUAAAAAGGGACGGCCCGCCGCAGGAACCACAAACUCUGUUUUUAGUGGAACUUCUGAGUAUAAAAAACAAAUAAAUCAAAACUUUCAACAACGGAUCUCUUGGUUCUGGCAUCGAUGAAGAACGCAGC
rnacentral:misc_RNA from 1 species